rnacentral:lncRNA from 1 species
CAUGGGUGCAGCCCUAAAAAAAAACUUUUAUUAAAACUAAAAAAUUCUAACGUCAUCUGAGCCUUCAGUGAGUUGUAAUUUUUUUUGCUAGUGGAGGAUCCUUCCUUGAUGUUGAUGGCUGCUGACUGAUCAGGGUGGUAGUUGGUGAAGGUUAAAGUGGCUGUGACAGUUUCUUAAGACAGCAAUGAAAGUUUGCCACAUUGAUUGACUCCUGUUUUCACAGUUUCGCCAUAGCAUGCAGUCCUGUUUGGUAGCAUUUUAUCUACCUUUCAAAACUGGAAUCAGUCCUCUCAAAUCCUGUCACUGCUUUAUCAGCUAAUUGUAAUACUCUAAAUCCUUAUUGUCAUUUCAACAAUCUUCAUGGCAUUUUCACCAGGAGUAGAUUCUGUCUCAAGAAACCACUUUCUUUGCUCAUCUAUACAAAGCAGCUUCUCAUCCAUUGGUUUUCAUCAUGAGGUUUCAGCAAUUCAUUCACAUCUUUAGGCUCCAUUUCUGAUUCUAGUUUUCUUGCUAUUUCCACUACGUCUGCAGUUACUUCCUCCACUGAAGUCUUGAACCCUUCAAAGUUAUCUUUGGGAGUUGGAAUAAACUUCUUACAAAUUUCUGUGAAUGUUGCUACUUUGACCUGUUCCCAGGCUAGAGGUCUCAUCGGAGCUAUAGCUGCCGGCCUACGCCACAGCCAUAGCAACGCCAGAUCCAAGCCACGUUUGUGACCUACACCACAGCUCACGGCAAUGCCAGAUCCUUAACCCACUGAGCAAAGCCAGGGAUCGAACCCGCAACCUCGUGGUUCCUAGUCGGAUUUGUUUCCGCUGUGCCAUGAGGCGAACUCCUUAAAGGAUAAGACCUUAAAGUAGGAAUAUUCCCUGAUCCAUAGGCUGCAGAAUGGAUAUUGUGUUAGCAAGCAUGAAAACAACGUUGAUCUUGUUGUAUAUCUCCAUCAGAGGUCUUGGGUGACAUGGUGACUUGUUGAUGAGCAGUAAUGUUCUGAAAGGAAUCUUUUUCCGAGCAGUAGGUCUCAACAGUGAGUUUAAAAUAUUCAGUAAACCUUGUUGUAGAAAUGUGCUGUCAUCCAAGUUUUGUUGUUUUAUAGAGCACAGACAGAGUAGAUUGUCAUCAUUCUUGAAGGCCCUGGGAGUUUCAGUGUGGCAGAUACUGGCUUCAGCUUUAAGUCACCAGCUGCAUUAUCCCCUAAGAAGAGAGUUGGCCUGCGCUUUGAAGCUUUGCAGCUAGGCAUUGACUUCUCUCUAGCUGUGAAAGCCCUAGAUGGCAUCUUUUUCCAAUAGAAGGUAGUUUUAUCUACAUCGAAAAUCUGUUGUUUGGUGUAGCCACCCUAUUAAGUAUCUUAGUUAGAUCCUCUGCAUAACUUGCUGCAGCUUCUACAUCAGCACUUGCAGCUUCACCUUACACUUUUAUAUUAUGAAGACAGCUUCUUUCUUUAAACCUCAUGAACCAGCCUUUGCUGGCUUCACACUUUUCUUCUGCAGCUUCAUUUCUUUCAGCCUUCGUAGAAUUGAAAAGAGGACCUUACUUUGGGCUAUACUUUGACUUAAGGGAAUGUUGUGGCUAGUUUGGUCUAUCCAGACCACAAAACUUUAUCAACAAUAAGGCUGUUUCACUUUCUUAUCAAUUCAUGUGUUCAUUUUUAAUUUCCUUCAAGAACUUUUCCUUUGCAUUCACAAGUUGGUUGUUCAGUGCAAGAGGCCUAGCUUUUGGCCUAUCUUGGCUUUUGACAUGCCUUUCUCACUAAGCUUAAUCAUUUCUAGCUUUUGAUUUAAAGUGAGAGAUGUGCAAUUCUUCCUUUCAUUUGAACAAUUAGAAGCCAUUACAGAGUUUUUAAUUGGCCUAAUUUCAAUAUUGUUGUAUCUCAGGGAAUAGGGAGGCCUGGAUAGGGAAAGCCAUGGGAACAGCUGAUCUGUAGAGCAGUCGGAACACACACAACAUUUAUGGAUUAAGUUUACUGUUUAAUAUGGACACCGUUUGUGCUUCAAAACAAUUACUGCAGUAAUAGCAAAGAUUACUGGUCACAGAUCACUGUAACAAACAUAACAAUGAAAAUGUUUGAAAUGUUGCAAGAAUUACCAAAAUAUAACACAGAGGCACAAAGUGAGCAAAUGCUGUUGGAAAAAUGGCAUUGAUGGAUUUGCUUAACACAGCAUUGCUACAAACCUUCAAUUAAAAGAAAAAAAGAAGGUGCAGUAUCUGUGGGGUACCAUAAAGCAAAGUGCAACAAAAUGAGGUAUGCCUGUAUUCUGCAGCUGUUAGAUGGAACGAUCUGUAUAUGUAUGCUGGGUCCACUUGUCCUAAAGUGUCAUUCAAGUCCAUUAUUUUCUUAAUUGAUUUUCUGUCUGAAUAAUCAUUGAUCCCAUUGUUGACAGUGGAAUUUUGAAAUCCUCUACUCUUACUGCAUUGCUUUGUUUUUGCUAUCAGAUCUGUUAAUAAUUGUUUAAUAUAUUUAGGUGCCCCAGUAUUGGUAUGUACAUAUUUCCAAUUGUUAUAUCCUUUUAAAAUUAAUUCAGACCUCUUAAUUAUAUAAUGACCUUUGUUUUUGUUAAGCUUUAUGUUAAAGUCUGUUUUGUUUGAUAUAAUUAUAGCUACUCCUCUCUUUUGUUUUCCAUUUUAAUGGACUAUCUUUUUCCUUCCCUUUACUUUUAGCUUGUAAGGGUCCUUAAAGCAUAAGUGAGUCUCUUGUAGUGAGCAUAUAAUUAGGUCUUGUUUUUAUACCUAUUCAACCACUCUAUGUCUUUCAGUUAUAAAAACAAUUUACAGGGAGUUCCUGUCGUGGCUCAUUGGUAACGAACCCAACUAGGAUCCAUGAGGAUGCAGGUUUGAUCCCUGGCCUUGCUCAGUGGGUUAAGGGCCCGGUGUUGCUGUGAGCUGUGGCAUAGCUCCAAUUUGACCCCUAGCCUGGGAAUUUCCAUAUGCUGAGGGUGCAGCCCUAAAAAAAAAAAAAAAAAAAAAAAAA